UACGUAGGGUGCAAGCGUUAAUCGGAAUUACUGGGCGUAAAGCGUGCGCAGGCGGCUUUGCAAGACAGAUGUGAAAUCCCCGGGCUUAACCUGGGAACUGCAUUUGUGACUGCAUGGCUGGAGUGCGGCAGAGGGGGGCGUGGAAUUCCGGGUGGAGCGGUGAAAUGCGUAGAGAUCCGGAGGAACACCGACGGCGUAGGCAGCGCCCUGGCUGUGAAUAAAGCUGACACUGAGGCACGAAAGCUGGGGGAGCAAACAGG
rnacentral:rRNA from 1 species